UACGGAGGGGGUUAGCGUUGUUCGGAAUUACUGGGCGUAAAGCGCACGUAGGCGGCUUUGUAAGUUAGAGGUGAAAGCCCAGGGCUUAACCCUGGAAUUGCCUUUAAGACUGCAUCGCUAGAAUUGUGGAGAGGUAAGUGGAAUUCCGAGUGUAGAGGUGAAAUUCGUAGAUAUUCGGAAGAACACCAGUGGCGAAGGCGACUUACUGGACACAUAUUGACGCUGAGGUGCGAAAGCGUGGGGAGCAAACAGG
rnacentral:rRNA from 1 species